rnacentral:rRNA from 1 species
GACGAACGCUGGCGGCGUGCUUAACACAUGCAAGUCGAACGGAAAGGCCCUGCUUGCAGGGUACUCGAGUGGCGAACGGGUGAGUAACACGUGGGUGAUCUGCCCUGCACUUCGGGAUAAGCCUGGGAAACUGGGUCUAAUACCGGAUAGGAGCCAUUUUUAGUGUGAUGGUUGGAAAGUUUUUUCGGUGUAGGAUGAGCUCGCGGCCUAUCAGCUUGUUGGUGGGGUAAUGGCCUACCAAGGCGGCGACGGGUAGCCGGCCUGAGAGGGUGGACGGCCACAUUGGGACUGAGAUACGGCCCAGACUCCUACGGGAGGCAGCAGUGGGGAAUAUUGCACAAUGGGCGCAAGCCUGAUGCAGCGACGCCGCGUGGGGGAUGACGGCCUUCGGGUUGUAAACUCCUUUCGCUAGGGACGAAGCUUUUUGUGACGAUACCUAGAUAAGAAGCACCGGCUAACUACGUG